rnacentral:precursor_RNA from 14 species
GAACUCAGCCCACCACACCCAGUCGUGCCCUAGCAGCGGGAACAGUACUGCAGUGAGUGUUUGGUGCCCUGGAGUAUUGUUUCCGCUGCCUGGGUAAGUCUGGGACUUCCACAUGGGCACACC